CCCUUUCUCUACCACCGCCUGUUCCGCACCGUCUCCUCCAACUGGAACCGGUUCCUCACCGACCUGCCGGGGGCCGCCGCCAAGACCAAGGGCUCGGCCCCGCCGGCGGCGACGGUCUCGCUCUCGCUGCCGUUCCUCUUCGCCUUCACCUUCGACCCCGUCUCACGCCGCCUCCAGUGCCAGGCGCUCGACCCCUUCUCCCGCCACUGGCUGCUGCUGCCCCCGGUCCCCUGCGGCGCCGCGGCCGGCUCAUUCGCCGUCGUGGGCCUCCCCGCGCGCGGCGAGAUCUACGUGCUCGGCGGCGUGGAGGAGGGCGGCGACAAGGCCGUGAGCAGCGUGGCCGUCUACAGCGCGGCGACCAACGGGUGGGGGCAGGUGGCCGGCAUGAGGACGGCGAGGGGCUACAUGGCGGCCGGCGAGGUGGGCGGGCGCGUGGUGGUGGCCGGCGAGGACGGAGAGGCGGAGGUGUUCGACCCAGAGGCCGGUCGCUGGUCGCCCACGGCUCCCCGUGGCGGCGCGGCCGUGGCGAGGUACGACGCUGCGGCGGCGGGCGGCAAGCUGUACGUGACGGAGGGGUGGGCGUGGCCGUUCGAGCGCGCGCCGCGGGGCGCGGUGUACGACGCGGCGGCGGACGCGUGGUCCGACAUGGCGCGCGGGAUGCGGGAGGGGUGG
rnacentral:rRNA from 1 species